rnacentral:rRNA from 1 species
CUGAAGAGUUUGAUCAUGGCUCAGAUUGAACGCUGGCGGCAGGCUUAACACAUGCAAGUCGAGCGGUAACAGGGGGUGCUUGCACCCCGCUGACGAGCGGCGGACGGGUGAGUAAUGCAUAGGAAACUGCCCAGUAGUGGGGGAUAGCCCGGGGAAACCCGGAUUAAUAC